rnacentral:misc_RNA from 1 species
GUUGGGAACCCAACUUUCUGUGUUAUAUGGCGAAAUGAAUGGGAAAUUGUUUGCUAUCAACAUGCUAAAGCAAAGUAUCUGUGACUGUGCAUUUAGUUCUUGUAUGUUCAAUGAAUCUACUGAUAUGAAAAGUGGAGAAGACAAUCUUCAAGAGCCACAGGAAAGCGGUGAACCACUUAAAAGAAGAAUGGAGAAUGGAACGAAUGUAUCGGGUGAAACACUCUCUAAAGGCGCAAUUUUUGUUUCCCAAGUAGCAGCAGCUGUUGCAGCAUUGUAUGAACGAUCCAUGUUUGAAGAAAAGCUCAAAGCAUUAAGGAGUUUACCAUCACUCCCAGCUUACCAACGAUCAAUGGAGCACACUUAUAUUUCAGAAAAAGCAGAUGAGGAACGACAAAAACGCCCUAAUUACAAACCCCUGCUUGAACAUGAUGGACUUCUGUGGCAGCAUUCGCGAAAUAAUCAGGACAUGGAUAGGAAAAAGACUAGAGCAGAAUUAUUAGCUGAGGAAAGGGAUUACAAACGUAGAAGAAUGUCAUAUCGCGGGAAAAAGUUGAAGCGGUCAACAACACAGGUUAUGAGGGACAUAAUUGAGGAAUACAUGGAGGAAAUUAGGCAAGCAGAUCCCAUCAAUUGCCCAACAAAAGGAGCUGAAGUGACCAAAUUUCCGCUGUCUGCAUCCUACAGGGUGGAUAAUAAUAAUUAUAAGAAUAAAGCUGAG